UACGUAGGGGGCAAGCGUUGUCCGGAUUUAUUGGGCGUAAAGAGCGUGUAGGCGGCCUGGAAGGUCAGCUGUGAAAACUCGAGGCUCAACCUCGAGACGUCGGUUGAAACCACCUGGCUAGAGUCCGGAAGAGGAGUGUGGAAUUCCCGGUGUAGCGGUGGAAUGCGCAGAUAUCGGGAGGAACACCGGUGGCGAAGGCGGUUCUCUGGGCCUGUUCUGACGCUGAGGAGCGAAAGCGUGGGGAGCGAACAGG
rnacentral:rRNA from 1 species